GAGGUCUCCAAGCAUUUUCAAAGGAAGCUAACAUGGCAGAUUGAAAAAUUUCCCGUCUUGAGGCUUCAGUGACUAAGUUUGGAGCCAGCCAGAGGAAUCUCACCAUUAAAUGUCGAGUUGAAGUGAAACACAAUACAUCACCUUCCUCGUGGGCUGCCAUUCAGCCACGAGUAACAGAGAUUAGCCUUCAAUCACACGAGGGCUGGAGCUGAAGGAAACCUUCCCGAGGACACGCUGGAGAAACAUUUUCAUUAGCAGAGGAGAACAUGACGGAGAUGAAGUGGCCCUUCACCUCGGCUGCCAGACCUCUCGCCUGCCUGGUGUUAACAGGAAUGCUAACCAAGGAGCUGGGGCCAGCUGCAGUGCUCUGAGUGCUGUCUGCAUCCAGAUCUAGGGAAUUUGUUUGGAACAUCAGAACAAAUGGCUGCUGGUUUUGAUGCAUUCUCAUGUUAAGUUACCUCUCAUGUCGCCCUCCUCCAUUUCAGAACUGAGAGCAGCCAAAAUGAGAGGAAAACAUGGCUCCUGAGCAAUUUUUCCCCCUAUGAUGCCUUCACCUUUCUUGUAUUCCCUUUUCUCCUACGAUCUCAGCUGGCUGAGUUUCACUGCCAGCCUAUUGAAAGGAAAGGCACGUGCUGGCUUGUGGAGGGAGAGAGACCUGAGACAGGAUAAAUCUGUAUGCAAUGAGAAUGGGGGGAAGCAAGUCAGCUGCUCUGACACUUUUAUUAUGGAGCCAGGCUGCUUGGGGAUGAAUCUUUCUUGAAACGUGUUGCUGGAUGACAUUUCUGCCAGGUCUCAGCAGUAACCUUCACCAAGCCUUGCUGCCCAGCCCUGUGCUUGCCUUUUCCUGGGACAAAGAGAAUGAAUAUCCACUGGAAAUGCCACAGGCAGCAGGGAUCAGUGGGGCUUAAUGCACCUCCAGUGAGUCUGAAGGCACCUGGACUUUCUCAGCAGAAGCUCUUCAGGCUUUGGUGACUUCAGCUUAUUGCUGCAUGUGUUGUUUUGCAAAGGAGGUGUGGGCUCCUACAUCUGUUUCUCACUUCAGAAUCAAAGAUGAUGUGGCAGAGACCAAAAUGAAAUUCUCCUCAGAGCUGUCCAGAAGGAUGGAUAACUGCAAGAAAAUAUUAUUCCAUGGCUCUGGAAAAGGAAUAUCUACUUGCUUAGUAACCUGGAGGUGUGAGAAUCGCCUUUGGGAGCAGCGCUUCCUUCUGCUCCUGCUCUGCCUGACCAAGGAUCAGUUCUCUCUCAUCCAUCAUCAGGACACGGCAACAGCCUCCUCCUGCCACCAGCCAGCUGCACGCCUGCAACCAGGCGAGGAGGGAUCUGGAGCUGUGGAGCCACGAGGAAGGCGAGCGAUGGCAGAUUCCUCCGGCAUUUCCACCCCGCGGGGCUCUUGGCGAGCGAGCGCUCGUGUGCUUUGAAAGCUCUUAGUGCUCCUGCAGUUGUGGUGGCUCUUGGACCUACCAAAACCUGGCUGACUUGUUCCUGGUAUCAUGACACAGAAGUUGUUUGCAGCUCCAUAUCUGACUCCGUGGGCUCAAGCUCCAGCUAGAAAACCAAGGACUAAGCUGCUUUCUUGAGCACAGCCUCGUAGAGAAGCAUUUUCAGAAGAAACUCUUGCAAUUGCCACCUCCCUCUCAGCCUCUUCACUGGUUUCUGAGAGCUGCUGAGCAUCCUUGACCUCUCUCUCAGGCAUGGUUCCCUGCAUGUAUCAGCCCUGCUUCGGUGCUGUGGAGCUGUUGCUGGUGUCUGUAAUAGCUGCGUUGUUUACUUCCCAAGUGCCUGGCCUUUCUGUAAUGAGCUGUAAUUCAUCCUGGUUUAUACAGGCUCAGAUAUACCUGGAGCAAGGAGGGUGUGCCAUUAAACCACCUUCUAGACUGCUAUCUGGACCCUGGAUUGCUGAUCCCCUGGAGAUGUAAAACAGGGAGGACAAGGGGGAUCAGAUGGAAAUGGGGAAUAAUUACCUUGCAGGGCAAAGGGGGCUGGCUGGGUUGGAAACUGCUGGGAGCUGACAUGCAGGUGCAGAUGGAUGGUUACGGCAGGCAGGGCGGAGGGAUGAAAGAUGCCUUUUUAAAGCAUCUGCCUCCCUCUCUUCCUCUGCUUUAUAACCUGUUUUUAUAGAGACUGCAUGAGGAACACAUUUUAUUUUAUUAGCAGCUUGGGAGUGGAGAGUAAUAAAGAUUAAUUUUUUUAAAUAAUUCUUUGCA
rnacentral:lncRNA from 1 species